rnacentral:rRNA from 1 species
CCUACGGGAGACAGCAGUGAGGAAUAUUGGUCAAUGGCCGGAAGGCUGAACCAGCCAUGCCGCGUGAAGGUCAGUGCCCUAUGGGCGUUAAACUUCUUUUGUGCGGGAGCAAUAAUGGUCACGUGUGGCCAGACGAGAGUACCGUACGAAUAAGCAUCGGCUAACUCCGUGCCAGCAGCCGCGGUAAUACGGGGGAUGCAGGCGUUAUCCGGAUUUAUUGGGUUUAAAGGGUGCGUAGGCUGUGAGGUAAGUCAGCGGUGAAAUGCCCCCGCUCAACGGGGUGAAGUGCCAUUGAUACUGCCUGGCUGGAAUGCGGAUGCCGUGGGAGGAAUGUGUGGUGUAGCGGUGAAAUGCAUAGAUAUCACACAGAACACCGAUUGCGAAGGCAUCUCACGAAUCCGCGAUUGACGCUGAUGCACGAAAGCGUGGGUAUCAAACAGGAUUAGAUACCCGAGUAGUC